GCCAGCCUGGUGUAGUGGUUUGAACACUUGGCUACAACUCUGGAGAACAGGGUUAAAAUCCCUGCUCAGCCA